GAACGAUCUUUGAGAUCGGUUAUUGCCUCGACCAUAUCAAGAGCCAUAUCGCAUACGCGAUCCGCAUGAUCGUUUUCCUUUACUGGCGCACCAGAGACUACCAUGUAAGCAUCACCGAUGGUUUCGACCUUAGAUAAGAGUCGAUAUUCUUUCUUGGAGUACCUAAAAAAUACCUUGUACACUCGGUUUCUCUCGGUCAAAGUGUCAAACAGUGAAUACAUGGCAUUCAACAUCGACACAACUUCCAUCGGCGUGAUUCUACUGCAGAUUUCGGUGAAGGUCACCACAUCCGAAAACAAGAUCGACACGCUAUCGAACAUCUAUAAUACAAGAUGCCGGCUUUGCUUUUGGAGAAUCUUUUAUUUUGCUUUGUACAACAAUUAAUAAUCUUGAACAAAAAGAGACAAAAAUUUCCUUCCAUUUUAAUUAAUUGUACCUCGCAAGUAUCAAUCGGACUUUCACCGUUUCUCAAACGAUCCGCGACUUGUUUGGGAAUCAUCUGAUACAAUAAUUCGUCGCUCCACGGAUUGUUGUGUCCCAGCUAGCAUAAGGUCGCUGCAAAAAAGUCAAAUCAAUAGUUAGAUCACUUAACCGAUGGAUAAGUCACUACAAUUUUGCGAUGAACGACGGCGCUCGCAUUCUCGGAUAGGAGAACUUGAGAUACUCGUGGAGAUUGUCCAGACCAUUGAGAAAGUCCCUCACGUGUCGUCCAAGUACCGAGAGCACGCGAUCGUAACCGUACUGACCGACGAAUCCUACGAAGUGCACGCCCAUCUGAUCGAAGAACUCCUUUUCCGUUACGCCGAGUAUCUAAAGUUCUCCGGAUAAACUUGAUGAACGCUAAAGCUCGGCUGAUCUACAGACGCCUGUCUGCGAAUCUCUUCCCAUCUAUCUUCGCCGUAAACCUGCCUUAUGUAUUCGGCCAAGUUCUCCAAGAUUAGACCGUACAUAUUUCUCGUUAGACAAAUUCUAUCGGAAACACAUUUGACGCACCCCGAUAUAUCUCCGUUCGCUUGUCUAAAAUGAUGAACACACUCUUUCGAGCUCCUCAACGACGUCCUUUGCGGAAGCUGCGGUGGAACUUCAGAGAUGCAACGGCGGGCAACAGGUCAUCGUACCCCGCUGGGACAAGAUAGGAGUGGAGGAGGAUGCAGCAGGUGUUCCAACAGGUGAAUCGCGACACAUACGGGUAGCACACAUGUUCACAUUGACUCGGCACGAAUGUACUGUGUUGUGUGUGCGAGAGACAUACUCGG